rnacentral:tRNA from 1 species
GCCUGGGUGGCUCAGUCGGUUUAGCGUCUGACUUUGGCUCUGGGCAAUGAUCUCAUGGUUUGUGGGUUCAAACCCCGCAUCGGGCU